AUGGUCAGCUUGAAGAUGAAGAGACGGGUCUGGCCGUGAAGUGACUUCAUGGAAGGCAAGGCAGGGCCCGAACGGUCAGUGGGCCCAGAGUCUGGUCCCAUUUGGGGCUGGACGAGCGCUGUGUGGAUACUGGGGUGUUGCGUGGGAUUUGAGUCCUGUGGGACCUUCUGCUGGUCGUGUGACCUUGGGCGGGCCAGACUCUUGCCUCCAGGGCCUCCAUUUUCUCAGCUGUAAAGUGGGCUCAGGGAUUCCUUGGGAGGGCUUCCUGCAGGACUGGAGUUACUGAGCUGGAUGCAGAAAGCCUGCAGCAGCCCAGGCUCUGAAACCAAGUGGCUUUUCUUUCUGGGGUCGGGAGACCAGGGUUUACUGCACAGCUGGACCGCUCAGAGCGAGGACGGGGGGCGUGUGAAAGGCCGCAGAGGCCCUGGUCCCCAUCGGGAUGCUCUGACCUGACUCUCUGGAUGUGGGGUCUGACAUGCCGGCUUCUGGGCCAGGUAGUGAAACUCAGGUUGAGAGUCCCAUCCCCAGCAACUGUCCUGAUGGCAGUUGACCCCAUGUAGCACGGAGGGCAGGGUGGCCAGGCCAGCUUCCGACAGAGAUGGAAGGCCAAGGGUGGCGAGCUCAGACACAGCUGGGCUGGCUUCUUGGCCACUGGGGACAGGCUGGCUACACAGCUCUGGGGGCCCAGUGCAGAAUAAGAACAUGGGCCCCUUGUUCAAAGAGCAGGAAGCAAAACCCACAAAAAAGGCACUGACAUGCAGAGCUUCUCCCUUUCUGCUGUGGUGGCUCCUCCGACUGCUGGUGUUUUUUCUUUGCUAUUUAAUGUGGGUCUAAGUGAAGAAAAAUUAUACUUUUAAGUUAUUAGCGUGAAUUUCACCACUCAGUUUCAUGUUGUGCAACACCAGUUCAAAGCACAAAUACAAGAGUGUUUAUGUGCGGAAUCAUUGAAAUUACACAACUUGCAUUUGUAGUUGGUACAAAUGCAUUGUAACCAGAACUGUGGAAAUGCUGCUCAAAAAAACGAACCCGGCUGUUUUCCUUUCACUUCUCGAUACACACACAUUCUUCCAAGACCCUGCCUUUGGAGAGAGGCUUACUGAAAGAAGGAGUAGUAGUUGCACUGUAUUGCAUGUGGAAUCUGACCCCUGCUGUGGAAGUGUGGAGUCUUGAUCACUGAACCACCAGCGAAGUCCUCUGAGCAUCUUAACACUUAUGAUGGGGGCUGCCAAUCAUAAUCUCCCACCCACUGACUGCAGUGAUUAGCUCAAGAUGGGCAUGUGACCCACACUGGGCCAAUCAGAGCCCUCUCUGGCAUAAUGUCCCACCCACUGACUGCAGUGAUUGGUCUAAAGAUGGGCAUGUGACCCACACUGGGCCAGUCAGAGCUUUCUCUGGGAUUUCUUCUUUGGGGCUGGAUGAAGGCUAGUUCUUUUCCUCCAUGAGAUGAGCUGUCCUUUGUUCUGUGGAGAGGCAGGUCUGAGAGAAAGAAGGUGCCCAGGAAAGAGAGAAGCAGAUGAAGACAAAGGAAGUGUCCAGGUCUGAGUGUCCGGCUCUGGCCCACUUGAGCUUGCUGGUGCCACACCGCAAAGGCACGCUGAUAAAGCUGAUACCCAGACGGACACUUCAGGAUCAGCUGUAAAAGGCAGGUGUGAUAUGUAUGCAACCUCGGAAGGAACUUCCAGCUCUGAGGACCUCAAUUUCCCCAUGUCUCCCUGGUUGUCCUGGGGGGUAACGUGAAGCCUGGCACACAGAAGGUGCCAUGUGAACACGGGUCAACAGAUGACACCUUCUAAGGGUGAUCUUUUCUGGAACGUGGCCCGCCCAAGGUCACGCAGUUGGUGAGGCCCAGCUGGGUAGCUGUUGUCUCUUCUCUGAGGGCAUGACCUCCUGGGGUGACCCGGGCCAACACUGUGUUAAGUCCUGGGUGUGCCCUCCAGGAGGAGGCGGGGCAGGGAUUAGCACCCAGGGCCCCAGCCACUCGGGAAGGUCGCCUGCUCUCUGCGAGGCCUGGCGCCGUGAACAUGGGGCCAGCUGGUUGCUGGGGGGGAGGGACCAGGGGGGAAUCUGACACCCCCGGACACUUGGUCCUGUCACUCCCAGGGGAUUUGGUGAGCUGGUGGGAACUUGGUCAGGUACAUGAUGUGCUGGGUGGCCGGGAGGUGGGGGAGUUGGUAAGUUCUGUCUGUGAGUCCAGGGCACGACCAGGCACAUAGUAGGUGCACCACGAGCAUUUCUCUGUGGAUGGAGGAAGAGGAGAGCGCUGGGCGUCCCAUCUACAAUCCAAACCAGGCUUCCCUAGCUCCAUCUCGGCUCCCACCGCGCUCUCAGAGCUGAAGUCCAGAAGAUGUGAGAGUCACCCCUGCUUCCUGCACUGGCCGCUCUCCACAGGCCACCCAUCACUAAGACCUGACGGGUCCUCCUCCAAACAUGCCCGAGCCCGUGCUCGGCCGCCUCCCUGCCUCGCCACCCUCUCUUGUUCCCACCCCUGCCCCUCCUCCCCAGGGAGCAAUGGUGAGUCAGGCGCCGUGUCGGUGGUCGGGUCAGCCCCCUGUGUGAAACCCGCGGCAUCAAGCCCAGUGCAAACUCUGCCCGCGAGGCCCUCUUCUUCUCCUUCCUGCAGAGCCCCAGUCCCAUGGCUCUCAGUUCCGCUCCUUAAAUACUCCGAGUGCCACUGAGUUCCUGCCUCAGGUCUAUGCUUAAGCCGUUCAUUCCUCUUUAUGUUCUCAGGGCUGGUUUCCUCUCGUCUGGCAGGUCUCACCAGUAUUUGAAGCUUCGUUCUUAUCUUCUUGCAAUUCUUUCUUGCAGUCAUUAGUUUGAUGUUAUGUUAAAGGGACGUGUCUUGGACAGGAUCGGGAUGAAGAAGCUGGUGGAUGAUUGGAAGAUUUUGGAAGAGGGGCGAGGCACUCUUCAUGAAAAUGAAUGGUUUGCCAAGUAGUCAUCCAUUAAACUAUCCUGUCUCUCUCCUUCUCGUUCUUCCAUUCGCUCACUCACCCAUCCACCCAUCCAUCUGCCCAUCCUUCCAUCCACCCAUCCGUCCAUUCACUGCCCACCACCCUUCCAUCCAUCUACCUGUCUGUCCAUCCACUCUUACACUCAUCCAUCCAUCAUCCAUCCAUCCACAUUCUUAGAGUCUCUGAGCAACUGCACACACAUCUGAGCCACCGAAGGCCUUAGGGACAGAGAAGGCUGGCAUUAGAGAACCACAGAGCCAAGAUCCUGGGUUCCCCGCACCCUAGGACUCUAGAAUCUGAGUCCAUUAAAUCCCGGACAACAACAGAAUAUCAGGAUCGGAGGAUUUUAGAAUUGCAGGGAAAGGGGCUGGCUGAGCAAGUUUUCAGUACCCCACUCCUGUAUCGCCACUGCCUUCAUUUCACAUUUAUUUAUUGAGCAUCUACUGAGUGCUGAGCACUAGGCCACUCGGGAGAGACCCAUGAACUAAGCCAGCAACAAUCCCUACCUCCUGGGCUUCGCCCCAGGGAGGAGGCAGUGACUGUACGCAAGGAGCUGACCCAGCAGGAGAGGAGGUGCGGGCUGCGGAUUUGGGUAUAACUCAUCACCACCUGUAUUACUUACCUAGUAUUUUCUUUAAGUUGACUCACUUCAAACACACAAAGAGAUUUUUUAAAAGGGAAGCUUUAUCUCGCCGAACAUAACAGGAAACUGAUAUCGUGGCUGCCAACAGACGGUGUCUUCAAAAAUAAACACAGUGGGAAGAAAACACUGUCAGGAGAACCCUGCUCCUCCUUGAGAUCUCUCGAGGUCUGCACCCCCUUUGUUGCGAAGGGUGGUGGGAGCUGCCAAAGACAGGAAGUUGUAAGGAUACAGAGAGGUUGGAAAGGAAAAAGUUAAUGUUUAAACAUCCUCUCCCCAUACCAGACCAUCCUUAGGCCUGGCCUCUGUCUUCCUCUUCUGUCCUGUUCAGCUGUGUGAGGUGGGGCAAGGUCACUGAACCUCUCUGAGCCUCAAAUCUGGAAACAGACAUGAUGGAGGCACUUUCCUCCUGGGGCUGUUGUAGGGAUUAAUUAAAGAAGGUGCUUCAGAGGGGCUGAAGGCUUAGGGUUUGUAACUCCUCCCCCUGCCCCGCCCCCUCCAGAAAUGUUUCAUGCCUAUCUCAUCUGGACAGUCUUCCAUGCUGCUUGGGGAAGGGUCCACCUCCCCCCCACCCUGCCCCCGCCCGGCCGACCCCCACCAUGGGAGCUGCUCAGGAAGCCUCCUCUGGGCUGAGCCUCUAGGACGGCAGCUCCAGGCAAUUUAUGAGGCUGUAGCUCCCUGCUCCCUGGUUCCUCCCAGCAGCGUGGCUCUUGCCCACCCCUGGCUGUAUUUCAUGCCCAUCAAGAUUUAGGGUUCCAACCAUUUUCCUGUAGGGAAAUCGGGCCAAGGGGAAUUUUAAAGCAGUUUUAUCAGCUAUAUCAUGCUCACUUUACUUGGCGGGAGAAUUACAGGUGGGGUUGGACAAGUGCUCGGAACAGGCGAUAAACUCCUUAUGUCUUUAUUCCCUGCAAGAAGGGGCUGUGGGGCCAGGCAGACCCCCCGGAGGCCUCGAGUUCAGAUGGCUUUGAAUCCCUGCAUCUAGACCUUCCAAAGGAUCCUGAGGCUUAAAUCCAGGUGUGACAGAUGUGGUUUGUUCAUUUGUUCAUUCAUCCACUCAUUCGUCCAUUCAUUCAUUCAUUCAGCAGGCAGGCAGACUCCCUGUGGCCCAGUGGACCCCGUCUCCUAUCUACUUUCCCAACAGAGGAGAGAGAGGGUUCACCUCAAAGCAUAGGCUCCCUUCCCACCAGCUCCAGGGAGAAUGUCAGGAGCGAAGAGGCGGAAACAGCCCAAGUGCCCAUCACAGAUGAAAACAGCACAAGACGGUCUGUUCUUCCAGCGGAGUUUGAUUCAGCCUUCAAAAGGAAUGAGAUACUGACACAGGCGACCACGUGGAUGAACAUGGAAAACCCAAAGUGAAAGAAGCCAGACACAGGAGGACAAAUACUGUGUGCUUCCACUUAGAUGUGCUCAUCCAUAGGGGGAGGGUAGACGUUAACAGGGGCUGUGCGGAGGAGGGGUGGGGGCUCAUUGCUUGGUGGGAACAGAGUUACUGUUUGGGGUGCUGAAAACAUUUUGGAAUUAGUGGUGAUGGUUGCACAAGAUUAUGACAUUGUGAAUGUACUUAAUAUUACUGAAUUGUUCACUUAAAAUGGUUUUAAGUGGUGAACUUAA